GUGAGGUUUUUUCAGUGGGAUUAUUUGUGUCCCUGUGGCUCUUCAGGGAGCUUGCAGAAUUCUAGCUAAAGAUAAGAAGGGCAUCGCUUCAAAUGGGAGGCCAAUCAAUGCAGCAUUAGGAAGGCUUCAUUCAGCUCAGCACCACCUUGGUGAAGAUCCCGGUGUUACACAUCCAAUCGUUCACCUCCUUCCAAGACUAUGACAUUCCAGGAAACCUUCACUGCUAAGAGGAACUAAGAUCUAGAGUAUCUCCUCGAGGAAGUACAACUGGGUUGCUAUGAAGAUCAAUGGGUUGAACACAUGUCUGAGAAACUGUACAAGCUGCCAUUC
rnacentral:lncRNA from 1 species